rnacentral:rRNA from 1 species
GGGCUGUCGCUGACCUUCAAAGGUCGUGCACGCCUGAGUCAUCCUCACACAUCCAUCUCACCCCUUUGUGCAUCACCGCGUGGGUCUCCUUUUCACAAAGGAGCUCACGUUUUCACACAAAACUUGAUACAGUGUAGAAUGUUAUCUUUGCGGUCACACGCAAUCAAUACAACUUUCAACAACGGAUCUCUUGGCUCUCGCAUCGAUGAAGAACGCAGCGAAAUGCGAUACGUAAUGUGAAUUGCAGAAUUCAGUGAAUCAUCGAAUCUUUGAACGCACCUUGCGCCCCUUGGCAUUCCGAGGGGCACACCCGUUUGAGUGUCGUGAAACCCUCAAAGAUCCUUUUUAGACUUACUGAAAAGGAUUUUUGGACUUGGAGGUUCAAUGCUCGCCUUUCACCUUUGAAAGUGAGCUCCUCUCAAAUGAAUUAGUGGGGUCUGCUUUGCUCGAUCCUUGACGUGAUAAGAUGUUUUCUACGUUUGGAAUUUGGCACUGUUCC